rnacentral:rRNA from 1 species
AUUGAACGCUGGCGGCGUGCUUAACACAUGCAAGUCGAUCGGUAACGCGGGGGCAACCCUGGCGACGAGAGGCGGACGGGUGAGGAACGCUUGGGAAUCUGCCCUUCAGCGGGGGACAACACGGGGAAACUCGUGCUAAUACCGCAUACGCUCCACGGAGGAAAGCCGGGGACCGCAAGGCCUGGCACUGAAGGAUGAGCCCAAGUCGGAUUAGCUAGUUGGCGGGGUAACGGCCCACCAAGGCGACGAUCCGUAGCUGGUCUGAGAGGACGAGCAGCAACACUGGGACUGAGACACGGCCCAGACUCCUACGGGAGGCAGCAGUGGGGAAUAUUGGACAAUGGGGGAAACCCUGAUUCAGCGACGCCGCGUGGGUGAAGAAGGCCUGCGGGUUGUAAAGCCCUUUCGGUAGGGACGAAAGCUCUCGACCUAACACGUCGGGAGGUUGACUUAACCUACAAAAGAAGCACCGGCUAACCCUGUGCCAGCAGCCGCAGUAACAC